AUCCCCGUCCACUGGCUGUCACGUGGGAAAGAUAACAGACCACGGUCCCCGCCUCUCAGACCGGCAGCCGUUACCCAUAAUGCAACGCGGCCUAGCAGCACCCUGCCCUCUUCUUAGCAGGCGCUCACAUCACCUGCUGUGGCGCCGAAAAACUCAGGAGAAGGGAACAGCCUUGGCUCUGCCCCGCCCCCUCCAUCCUCCCUGGCUCGGUUUCCCUGGGCUGGGGCAGGAAACCUGGCUUAGGGAAAGCUGACACUGGUGUUGUGUUACCAGGGCUUCCUUCUUGAACUGCUAGAGCCUAGUCCCGGAAUAAUUCCAAUGCUGAGGAGACUAUCAGAACUAUACAGCCAUUCAAGAAAGUUGAGAUCGACUUUCAAAUAAUUCUGGAAUCAACAAAGAGGCUGAAAUUUCAUCCACUGAAAUUCUGUAGGUUGAGAUAUUAGUUGAUACGC